GUGCUCGCUUCGGCAGCACUUAUACUAAAAUUGAAAUGAUACAGAGAAGAUUAGCACGGCCCCUGCACAAGGGUGACAUGCAAAUUCGUGAAGUGUUCUAUAUUAAA
rnacentral:snRNA from 1 species